rnacentral:rRNA from 1 species
AAGACCAAGGGUUCCUGUCCAACGUUAAUCGGGGCAGGGUGAGUCGACCCCUAAGGCGAGGCCGAAAGGCGUAGUCGAUGGGAAACAGGUUAAUAUUCCUGUACUUGGUGUUACUGCGAAGGGGGGACGGAGAAGGCUAUGUUGGCCGGGCGACGGUUGUCCCGGUUUAAGCGUGUAGGCUGGUUUUCCAGGCAAAUCCGGAAAAUCAAGGCUGAGGCGUGACGACGAGGCACUACGGUGCUGAAGCAACAAAUGCCCUGCUUCCAGGAAAAGCCUCUAAGCAUCAGGUAACAUCAAAUCGUACCCCAAACCGACACAGGUGGUCAGGUAGAGAAUACCAAGGCGCUUGAGAGAACUCGGGUGAAGGAACUAGGCAAAAUGGUGCCGUAACUUCGGGAGAAGGCACGCUGACACGUAGGUGAAGUGAUUUACUCAUGGAGCUGAAGUCAGUCGAAGAUACCAGCUGGCUGCAACUGUUUAUUAAAAACACAGCACUGUGCAAACACGAAAGUGGACGUAUACGGUGUGACGCCUGCCCGGUGCCGGAAGGUUAAUUGAUGGGGUCAGCGCAAGCGAAGCUCCUGAUCGAAGCCCCGGUAAACGGCGGCCGUAACUAUAACGGUCCUAAGGUAGCGAAAUUCCUUGUCGGGUAAGUUCCGACCUGCACGAAUGGCGUAAUGAUGGCCAGGCUGUCUCCACCCGAGACUCAGUGAAAUUGAACUCGCUGUGAAGAUGCAGUGUACCCGCGGCAAGACGGAAAGACCCCGUGAACCUUUACUAUAGCUUGACACUGAACAUUGAGCCUUGAUGUGUAGGAUAGGUGGGAGGCUUUGAAGCGUGGACGCCAGUCUGCGUGGAGCCGACCUUGAAAUACCACCCUUUAAUGUUUGAUGUUCUAACGUGGACCCGUAAUCCGGGUUGCGGACAGUGUCUGGUGGGUAGUUUGACUGGGGCGGUCUCCUCCUAAAGAGUAACGGAGGAGCACGAAGGUUGGCUAAUCCUGGUCGGACAUCAGGAGGUUAGUGCAAUGGCAUAAGCCAGCUUGACUGCGAGCGUGACGGCGCGAGCAGGUGCGAAAGCAGGUCAUAGUGAUCCGGUGGUUCUGAAUGGAAGGGCCAUCGCUCAACGGAUAAAAGGUACUCCGGGGAUAACAGGCUGAUACCGCCCAAGAGUUCAUAUCGACGGCGGUGUUUGGCACCUCGAUGUCGGCUCAUCACAUCCUGGGGCUGAAGUAGGUCCCAAGGGUAUGGCUGUUCGCCAUUUAAAGUGGUACGCGAGCUGGGUUUAGAACGUCGUGAGACAGUUCGGUCCCUAUCUGCCGUGGGCGCUGGAGAACUGAGGGGGGCUGCUCCUAGUACGAGAGGACCGGAGUGGACGCAUCACUGGUGUUCGGGUUGUCAUGCCAAUGGCACUGCCCGGUAGCUAAAUGCGGAAGAGAUAAGUGCUGAAAGCAUCUAAGCACGAAACUUGCCCCGA